rnacentral:rRNA from 1 species
CAGCAGCCGCGGUAAUACGUAGGGUGCGAGUGUUAAUCGGAAUUACUGGGCGUAAAGCGCGCGUAGGCGGUUACUCAAGUCAGAGGUGAAAGCCCGGGGCUCAACCCCGGAACUGCCUUUGAAACUAGGUAACUAGAAUCUUGGAGAGGUCAGUGGAAUUCCGAGUGUAGAGGUGAAAUUCGUAGAUAUUCGGAAGAGCACCAGUGGCGAAAGUGACUGACUGGACAAGUAUUGACGCUGAGGUGCGAAAGCGUGGGGAGCAAACAGGAUUAGAGACCCCCGUAGUCCCUGUCUCUUAUAC